rnacentral:rRNA from 1 species
AACGAACGCUGGCGGCAUGCCUAACACAUGCAAGUCGAACGAGGGCUUCGGCCCUAGUGGCGCACGGGUGAGUAACGCGUGGGAACCUGCCCCAUGGUACGGAACAACUCCGGGAAACUGGAGCUAAUACCGUAUGCGUCCUCCGGGACAAAGAUUGUAUCGCCACGGGAUGGGCCCGCGUAGGAUUAGCUUGUUGGCGGGGUAACGGCCCACCAAGGCUUCGAUCCUUAGCUGGUCUGAGAGGAUGAUCAGCCACACUGGGACUGAGACACGGCCCAGACUCCUACGGGAGGCAGCAGUGGGGAAUAUUGGACAAUGGGCGCAAGCCUGAUCCAGCAAUGCCGCGUGAGUGAUGAAGGCCUUCGGGUUGUAAAGCUCUUUCGCACGCGACGAUGAUGACGGUAGCGUGAGAAGAAGCCCCGGCUAACUUCGUGCCAGCCGCCGCGGUAAUU